GCUUUAAUCAUUGCACAGGCGGUGUACAUUGUCGUUGCCCUGAUUGUCAUUGUCUUAUUGACAAUACGGAUGCAGCACUAUAGGCGAAGAGCAAGAUCAUCAAAUAUAACAGAGAUUCCUUUAACGGGAGA